rnacentral:lncRNA from 1 species
GUCUAAUACCCUAUCUCACCUCCUUGCCUCCUCCUAACGGUUCCCUAAAGAAUGUUCACAUCCAUUCUGAGAUCAUCUCUAUAUGUAAAGAGAUCGUCUCUAUAUGUGAAGAGAUCGUGUACGUUUAGGGCAUUGUGGGAGAAGUGGUCCAAACCCACUUCUUGCCACCUAACCCACCCCUCCCGCUUGAGAGACUGGCUUUUGCAGCAUAGAUUGUCUCUGUGUAUGUCUUCAAUGUUGUCUUUGACCUCCUGCUCAGGUAAGAAAACUCAGUGAGCUGUUUUUCUGUGGCUCCAGGCACCCAAUUCUGACCUUGGGUUUGGUGUGAUGGAGGAUUUGGGAGUGAAACAAAAUAAACAGAAAAAAAAA